GGACACAGCGUUGCAGUGGCUCAGCGAACGCCUCGGCCACCCAGACAACUUCACUUCUGUGAUAUUCCUGCCCAGACCAAGGCCUGGAGCACCGCUUCACGAGGAAGUAAAUCUUCAUUCCCGACGAGACGAGCGGCGAGGCGGCACCGCGGCUCCAGGCGGGGCGGCGGCUCCUCCGACACCCGCGUCAUGCCCUUCAGCUUCCAGCAGCAGACGAGCGGCUGAACAGACACUCCCCGGGAUGUCUGAACGACAGCCAGGCUGGACUGAAUGAUCCAGCAGUUGCUGCAGUUACACUGGGACUUUCCAAAUACAGCAAAACAUACUCGCCACCUUCCUCUUGGCCACCGUGACUGUUGUACAAUUCCAUGU